rnacentral:rRNA from 1 species
GAUGAACGCUGGCGGCGUGCCUAAUACAUGCAAGUCGAGCGAACAGAUGAGGAGCUUGCUCCUCUGACGUUAGCGGCGGACGGGUGAGUAACACGUGGAUAACCUACCUAUAAGACUGGGAUAACUUCGGGAAACCGGAGCUAAUACCGGAUAAUAUAUUGAACCGCAUGGUUCAAUAGUGAAAGACGGUUUUGCUGUCACUUAUAGAUGGAUCCGCGCCGCAUUAGCUAGUUGGUAAGGUAACGGCUUACCAAGGCAACGAUGCGUAGCCGACCUGAGAGGGUGAUCGGCCACACUGGAACUGAGACACGGUCCAGACUCCUACGGGAGGGAGCAGUAGGGAAUCUUCCGCAAUGGGCGAAAGCCUGACGGAGCAACGCCGCGUGAGUGAUGAAGGUCUUCGGAUCGUAAAACUCUGUUAUUAGGGAAGAACAAAUGUGUAAGUAACUAUGCACGUCUUGACGGUACCUAAUCAGAAAGCCACGGCUAACUACGUG